CCUACGGGAGGCUGCAGUGGGGAAUAUUGCGCAAUGGGCGAAAGCCUGACGCAGCGACGCCGCGUGAGGGAUGAAGGUCUUCGGAUCGUAAACCUCUGUCAGCAGGGAAGAACGGUCACUGUGCUAAUCAGCAGUGAAUUGACGGUACCUGCAAAGGAAGCACCGGCUAACUCCGUGCCAGCAGCCGCGGUAAUACGGAGGGUGCGAGCGUUAUGCGGCAUUACUGGGCGUAAAGCGCUCGUUGGCGGUAUGUCCAGUCCAGUGUGAAAUCCCCGGGCUCAACGUGGGAACUGCCUUGGAAACUGGCAAACUGGAGUGUGUGAGAGGAUAGUGGAAUUCCAGGUGAAGGGGUGAAAUGCGUAGAUAUAUGGAGGAACAUCAGUGGCGAAGGCGACUAUCUGGCACAUAACUGACGCUGAGGAGCGAAAGCGUGGGUAGCAAACAGGAUUAGAUACCCCAGUAGUC
rnacentral:rRNA from 1 species